GAGUUUGAUCCUGGCUCANGAUGAACGCUAGCGGCAGGCCUAACACAUGCNAGUCGAACGGUAACAGAGAAGAGCUUGCUCUUUUGCUGACGAGUGGCGCACGGGUGCGUAACGCGUAUACNAUCUACCUUUUACAGGGGUAUAGCCUUUAGAAAUGAAGAUUAACACCCCAUAGUAAGUACUUAUGGCAUCAUAGGGACUUUAAAACUUCGGUGGUAAAAGAUGAGUAUGCGUUCUAUUAGCUAGAUGGUGUGGUAACGGCACACCAUGGCAACGAUAGAUAGGGGCCCUGAGAGGGGGAUCCCCCACACUGGUACUGAGACACGGACCAGACUCCUACGGGAGGCAGCAGUGAGGAAUAUUGGACAAUGGGCGAGAGCCUGAUCCAGCCAUGCCGCGUGCAGGAAGACUGCCCUAUGGGUUGUAAACUGCUUUUAUAUGGGAAGAAACCCACCUACGUGUAGGUGGCUGACGGUACCAUAAGAAUAAGGAUCGGCUAACUCCGUGCCAGCAGCCGCGGUAAUACGGAGGAUCCAAGCGUUAUCCGGAAUCAUUGGGUUUAAAGGGUCCGUAGGUGGAUAAUUAAGUCAGAGGUGAAAUCCUGCAGCUCAACUGUAGAAUUGCCUUUGAAACUGGUUAUCUUGAAUUAUUGUGAAGUGGUUAGAAUAUGUAGUGUAGCGGUGAAAUGCAUAGAUAUUACAUAGAAUACCAAUUGCGAAGGCNGAUCACUAAACAAUAUAUUGACA
rnacentral:rRNA from 1 species